CACUAACCACAGACAUUUAAUGGGCAGCUCCUGCGACGACGCGGCGAGCGAGACCAGGCUAUAAAUUCGAGUGCGGAGCACCAAAUCUAGUCAGUGUGUUCAACGGAGCUUUCCGCAGCAAGACCCACCCAGGGCAGACUUGCACGGAUAGAUUUAAUACACAUCAUUACGAUUUAAAAUCUAACAAAAAUUGUAAUAUUGACCUUACGUUAAAAUAAUCGUAAUACAUAAAUACAGUCCGCUGAAAGUUAUUUUCCUCGCCGGAACAAUCGUUGUUGGAUAACUUUUAAUAUCAUUCGUACUUUGUGUUAUUCACCGCUAACGUUGUUAUUACAUUAUUGUUGGUCCCUAAAAACAUGUUCAAACAUAUUAUUAUUGUGUUAGCUUUAUGUUUUAUGGCUUAUAUUGUUGGAAAUAUAGAUGCAACUACCGAUCGACAACGUUUUAAUCAAUUUAAUGAUUUAGUCAAAUGCUAUAAGCAAUUGUUUGAACAUGAACUUGUAAAAAGAAAUGUUGCCCGUCAAAGUGCAAAAUCAUCAGAUACAUUUAAAGACAUAAUCAAAGGUUUCUAUGCAUGGUAUAAUAUAAAAACAACAGUUGAAAAGGGAACAGGUGAAUUACAACCACGCUAUAUUAUGAUGAUCGCUUUACAAGUGAUAAAAAUCUUAAACAUAUUAAAGAAUUAUUCAAAUCUAACACUUCUGGAUACUCUGAACCACUGAAUACGUUUAUUGUUCAGUAUAAACCCGAAAGUGAUACAGAUACCUUUAAAACAGUGUCGACGUUUUGUAAUGAAUACAGCGAAACUCCUCAGUCUUAAGAUUGGUGUUAAAAAAUAUACAAUAGUAGUGCAAAAAAGCACCUUGUACUUGAACAACUUCUUUUUAGAAAGUAUAAAAUGGCAGUCAAUCAGAAAAUCACACAGAUAUUUAAGACAACGCAAAAUUUGUUGUUCUAUAUUUUAUGUAUUAUUUAAUGAUAUAAAUAAAUAAAAUUAAUUAAAACAA